rnacentral:lncRNA from 1 species
UCUGGAUAGUUCACGUAAAGGCGAUCUGUCUCCUCGUCGUACUGCCACGCCAGCUGGGUGCCGUCGGGAUCAUCUGCCUCUGGGGUACCUGUACCUGCUGGGAGUUUCGGAGGAAUCCGUGAGUCACGGGGACUCAGCAAUCUAAGACCUUGGUGCCAGAACUAGUCAUGUUAUUGGGUAAGGAAGGGGUGAAGUGUUUCAGGUUGUUGCAUCCUAAGAUUGAACAAGUGGCUAGCUUACGCGAAGGAGAAGUGACAGUGUUCUAUACUAACGAUCGUGAUUACUUGAUCAGAAAGUGAUCCUGAACACCUACCUACGGCAUUCAUAACCCCACCGUGUUCCCGAUCGAAGAGAGAUCUUCGAAGGGACAGUCACGGUGACGCACACAGUUGGCAUAUUUUAUUAGUUUUUGUUUAAGUUUUCUAAUACCGGAUGUUAACAAAAUAUUCCAAGUUGCCACAUAACCGCGGGCACGGCUUUCCGAAAGAUUAAACCCUGCAGGGGUGCUCCAACUAGUCCAUCACAAACGAACACAGGCCGCAAAGUCAUCCUCUAUCACGAAUCUCGUGAUCUCGUCGGAUUCCUUAGAGGAAAACCUCAACUCUGGGGAGAACCAAAGCCUCACCGGGAUUCCUAUACGCAAGAUAUACCGCUAAGGCAAUACAAGGCUAGCAGGACCUCCCGUCGUGUCGACGACCCUGAUAAGAGCCGCGUAUCUCAGUCUCAGGACACGACAGAUGAGCUAGACGUCGGGAUGGCUAAACCUCUGGGUGACCAGUGGGGCCCCGGACAUCGCUCAGGUGGGACCAACACUCAUGGGGAGCACUGGCCCGGGUUGUUGAUUAAAUUCCUCGGGGUAGCUAUUCCCUAUGCAGAUUAUUAUGUGAUUAACAGAUUAAAACCAAAGUUGGGUCCUGCCGGACAAGCCUUAGCACUACGCGAUUUAUCAAGGGGGUCCCCAUAACAACCCCGAACGUGUUAGGAGCGAUCAUUAUGGAAUCAAACACCGGUAACCGGUAACUAAGGCGGCAAUAACGGGACAAGACACCCGGCAAAAGGCUAGGCCUCCCGUCAUUUACCUAAUAUAUAGAUACAUUAAUUAAAUAACAGAAAUUAAGAUAAUGAUAUCAAGCUCAUGGCAACUCAUGAGUUAUAAACACCUGCAACUA